rnacentral:rRNA from 1 species
UCAGUAACACGUGGCCAAACUACCCUGUGGAUGGGAACAAUCUCGGGAAACUGAGGCUAAUUCCCAAUAACGCUCCGCCCCUGGAACGGGCGGAGCUGGAAACGCUACGGCGCCACAGGAUGUGGCUGCGGUCGAUUAGGUAGACGGUGGGGUAACGGCCCACCGUGCCAAUAAUCGGUACGGGUUGUGAGAGCAAGAGCCCGGAGACGGAAUCUGAGACAAGAUUCCGGGCCCUACGGGGCGCAGCAGGCGCGAAACCUUUACACUGUACGCAAGUGCGAUAAGGGGACUCCGAGUGUGAAGGCAUAGAGCCUUCACUUUUGUACACCGUAAGGUGGUGUACGAAUAAGGGCUGGGCAAGACCGGUGCCAGCCGCCGCGGUAAUACCGGCAGCCCGAGUGAUGGCCGAUAUUAUUGGGCCUAAAGCGUCCGUAGCUGGCCGGACAAGUCCGUUGGGAAAUCUGUUCGCUUAACGAGCAGGCGUCCAGCGGAAACUGUUCGGCUUGGGACCGGAAGACCUGAGGGGUACGUCCGGGGU